GUGCCCCCUCCAUCUUCUCUAGAGUGUGUACUGCUCAUUUUAUCUUCACCAGACUGUGAACACAGCAGUGUGUAAAGCUUGCUCCAUCCUUACCAGGCUGUGUAAUACUCACUCCACCUCUACCAGGCUGUGUAAUACUCACUCCAUUUUUACCAGUCUGUAUAAGGCUCACUCCACCUUCACCUUUAAAAAUUUCAGGUGCUUCUUUUAAUAAAUUCAAAAGCAGCACCUGUUUGAAGCAUGAGAAUGGAUUCAUUCCUGAGGCAGGCUGUCCUUAAGUGGCUGGUAAGGAUGUUUAUCUACAAUUUACCUCAGCAGUUCAAAUUUUUAUGGAACUAUUCAAAAGUUGUCUCAUGUACAAGUAGUUCCUGUAAAAACUCAGGUGCUUUCUGAUGAACUCCAUCUGUUGUUUUGCUGUGGAAGCACCCAGAAUGUAUUAAACAUUUUACACAUCUACUGAAAAAAAAAUCCCCUUUUUAAUGUUUUUCCAUAAGAAUCUCUUAAUCACAAGGAUAUCUUGUCAUGGCACAAAAAUAACUUGAGAAGGACUGUUACUUUUCUGCAUUCUUACUUAAAAGACAGCCUGGGAGGAAAAUUACCCACUCAGAACAGAUAAACUCAAACUUCUCUUUUCCCGAUAUAGAAGUUUUCUGGACCUUGGUUUAAUGUUAGCUAUUCAUGUGGUUUAUGCUCUUAAAUGCAAUUUUAAGAGCCUCAGAAAUUUUUAGAAGUUGUUACAGUGAUUCAGUGUUCUGUUUGGAUUACACAGGUUCAGUAAUUAGUAAUGACAUGACUAAAUAAAAUUCUGAUAUUCUGGGGAGCUGGGACAUUGUCCUUGACAUACCAGAGUUCAGUGUUUUAUGGUGGCACUGCAUGUUAAUGGUGUGGGAUUAGAGAAAACUGCUUUUGAAGUGCUUUAAAAUUCACACACUGGUUAUCAGAAAGAUGACUGGAAAACUCUUUCAUUUCAUGGAAGUGCUUUUGAAUGCUCUUGGACAACUGAGAACAGGACUCUAAACUAUCAGACAGCAGUUGUCUCCAUGCUGCUGCCAAAGCCUCCAGCUCUUCUUUUCCUUCAUUUUCUCCAUUGUAUUUAUAUCCAGACAUGCAGUGGAUAGGAGUUAUGCAGAUUAAACUACAUUUCUGAAGUAUUAAUAAACAAAGGUUAUGAAUCCUGCAUAUUAAACUCAAAUAGUCCAUAUUUUGGCUUGGUGUGUUACAGAAGUUGGGUUCUGACAGUUGCUCACACUCUUUUCAUGUUGGUUCUCCAGUUCCUCCAGUAUCUCCUGAUUCUCUUGGUGAAUUUACAUCAGGGGUGUGGUACAAUUAAAUAUUUCAGGUUCCUAAAAAUAGGUGAGCAGGUAAGAGACCACUGAGGGAAAUCUACAUGUGUGUAUCCUUUAGAAACAGUGAUGUUCACUUAAGUGACUUUCCAGUAACUCCUCUGAAAAAUGAAUUAUCUCUUUAUGAAGCUGUCAGCAUGUAUUUGAUAAAACAACAUGAGGAAAUUAGAAUUCAGCUGUCUGAAUUUACCUGGUUAGUAAAUGAAAAGUUUAUAGAGUAUUAGAACACAAAAAUUAUGUUAUGUCCUUUGCUGCUUACUGCUUGUCCUUCACUCUGCUUUUUCUCUUAAUUUGGUAAAUGGUAAAUAUCAAACAAGGGAGAUUUCAAGUUAUAACUAAAACUUUCAAGGGCAUCAGCAAAUUGUGCAGGGAAGUACUUUAUGUGCAUUUGGUAAGUAUUUAGGAUAUGGAGGAAUUUGUUGGGGUUUUGUUGUUUGCUGUGUUUUUAUUUUUUAAAUCCAACCAUAACCUUCCCCUGUCUCUCCCAGGUUAUAAAAUUGUACUUAAUGGCAUUGUGCUUUCAAAUUUGUCAUAAAAGUGUAAUGAAUCUGGUGAUCAAUAGCAAACUGUUGCAUUCUUUCAGUACUGAAGAAGUAAUUUAAUAGCUGAGGUUUACAAAGUCAAUUCUCCUCUCAGUAUAAAUAUCAAUUAUCUGUUACAUUUAAUGAUUCUCUCUCCCAUUUCACAAACACUUGUGUGCUCAGCUUUGCAGGGGAGUAAUCAGUGAUUACAGAGGGACCUGUGCAUCUGAGCUAAGCUGGUGUGUGAGUUUGCAAAGCCUGGUGCUGCUAAUCCAGAACUGUGAGGCAUUUCCCAGGGUUUUUCUAUCCCGUGGGACAUCACCUUUCUUCUGUCUCAGGUUGCUGCACUGGAUGCUCAGGGCUGCUCAGUUUUUAGCAGGUUCUUUGAUCAGAACUCCCUCAGCCACUGCUGGUGCUCCAGCCCCUCAAGCUCCAGAGCUGGACAGAGGAUUGGAGGUGCCCCAGGAGUGCCUGGUGCUUUGCCCUGGGACAGCCCAGGUGCCCUUGGCCUUCUGGCACACCUGGGCACACCUGGGCUGGUGAGCAGCUGCUGUCACCAGCACCUCCAGAGCCUUGUCCACCUGUGCAGCCACUCCUCCCCAGGCCUGGGGUGGUGGUGGCAGGGUAGGACACAGCACUUUGCCUUUGGGAUGUUCUGUUCCAGAAUAUUGCCUGGCACUGAGGCCAGGCUGACAGCCCAGCAUUUCCCUGGAUCCUCCUUCUCCAGCCCAGCAUUUCCCUGGAUCCUCCUUCUCCAGCCCAGCUCUUAGAUGGGAAUCACAAUUGCUGGCUUCAGUCCCCUGGCACGGUCAGAAGUUGUGUCCUCCUGGCCAGAGUGAUCUCAGAACACACAUCUGGUCCUUGUUUGACCUUGUCACUCCAGAGGAUCCCGUGGUGUGACAUGCCCAUGGCACGUUGUGGGGCUGUUGCUGCCUGACUGGCUCUGAAAUACUCACCUGUGGCUGUUCUUGAGCCCUGUGGUGCCCUUGUGUGCCCUUGCCUUGUGCUGGUGGUGCCCACCUCACCUCAGGCUCACCCCUAAAACCACACCAAGUGGGCUUGGAUGUGUUCAUUUUCUAAUGCUUGCAGAAAAGCUGGCUUCACUGCUGCUGCUGCUGGUUCUGAAAAUAAACAGGAGAGGCCCAGAGUCACUCCACCCUUCCCAAGACCCAGAACUAUAAAGUAUCAUCUUUUCCUUCCUUCUUCAGUUUUCCAUGACUGAGUGGUGGCCUGUUAGUGAAGAGCUUGGCCACAAACUGAUUUAGCAGAUGCUGUGAGGAGUCCCUGCACCUCUUACAGACUGGGAAAUCAGCCCUGGGUUCUCUUGAAAUUUUAAUUUCAUAUGUUUUCCUCCUUCCCCACUAAGUACUGGCAGCUUUCUUUGAGAUUUAAGGAGUUAGGGCUGGUGAGAUUCAUCUGCUGAUUGCUUUGAUAAACCAUCAGUUUGACAUUUCCUCCCUUUUCAGGGAGGAGCACAGGCGGUGUUUCCCCAAGUGAUGCUUGAUAAAGGCAAUGAGAAGCAAAGGAAGAACUUCCUGAAUAUCCUGUGUGGUUCAUUAGGGGAAUCUGGACAUUUGUUUCUCAUGCUGACAUCCUAAAUGCUGAAAUGCUUUUAUAGAGUUGUCUUCAUUCUGCUGAGUCUUGUGGGGGCACUCACAAACAAUUUGGGCCUUUCAAUUUAAGUUAUUUUGAGCAACAUCUACACACAAGUAGCUGCUUCUUUGUUCUCUUCCAUCACCUCCCAUUCCACUCUGCUCAAAGGUGACCUGCAAAUGACUUUUUAGGGUUUGCCACUCUCUUUAGUUUCAUAAUGAUGUGUGAAACUAGCCCGAAAGGCUUGGAAAAGCUUUCCUGCACUUCUUAAAACUUCGUGUCAGCUCUCAUCUAAUUUGGAUUUUUUUGCUAUAGGGCUUGUGGGUUAUUCUCAAGGUAUUUAUUAUUAGCUCUUGCAUCUUAAUUCACUGUGCAGACCUGAGGAAACCAAAAUAUUAAUUAGUAAUGAAAAUGAAUCAAAGUUAACAAACUGAACACUUCCAGCAGCCUGGAUAAAACCCCUGCCUUGUUUAAUUGCCUAAAUUUCACAUAGAUGAUGGCACAACUUUCAUAGGUUUCUCCCUCCCCUCCCAGUGACUGCGAGUCAAACAGCAGAAGGUGAAAAUAAUUGCUUUUUUCUUCAACCUUCCCCAACCCUUUUGUGCUCUCUUCACUCAUUCUCAGCAUUGUUAAGGAGCAGUGUCAGGCUCCUCGUUUCACCCUGAGGAGGCUGAACACCAGAAUGACAUCAUGAGUUCAGAGAGCUCGGGUGACAGAUGACCACGGGGCUUGGUAAGGUUGUGUUAGUGACAGCCAAGCUGGCUUUUCUGUCAGCUCCUGAAAAAAGCCUUUCAGGUGAAACCAAGACUAGAAGCCUGAUCUGACUCUGUGUGGAAGCUGCUUUUGCAGCCUGCCUGGCCCUGGAGCUCUUGCUUUACCUGUGGGUUUUGCUGCUGCAGGGAUGUGCUCAGUGAUGCCUUCAGUGUUCUCAAGCACAGGCAGUCAUUUUGAGCUUAUAAAUCCUGGUUUCCUACCAAGGCCAGACAAACUCAUCCUUCUUUCUACUAAACUUCUUGGAGAUUCCAUUUUUGCUCUUUGGGCUGCUCACCAUCAGUGCCUGGAGUUGAGCUGAUGCCUCUCCUCUCUGCUGCUUGCAGCGUGUUGCAGUUUGUGUUCCUUCCAGAGAGCAAACAGAUCAAUUUCCAGCAUCCUCCAGUGGUGUUUUCUCCCCUCUGUCUGCAACUGGAGCCACUGUUUAUCUGUGGUUUGUCCUUUGUGACAUAAUAGGGCUGAUGGAGCAGAGCCUUCCCAAAUUGCAUCAUAAUUCCUCCUGAAUUCUUAUGGAAAAGAGAAUUUUUUUUCUCCUCUACCCACAGUAGUUUGUUUCCUUGAUAGAGCAGCUGCUUUAAUUAAUGGGCCUGGGCUGAUUCAAGCCACAGGAACCUUGAGCUAAGGGAUGGGGGAUUUUUUUUUGCCUUAUAAAUCAAAUUACUAGAAACAGUUUGGCUUUUUCUAAUUGCUGCUUUUAUAAAUGUUCAUUAAAAUGUUUUCCUUACAGUACAACCCUUUGGCUUGUUUCUAUUCCCUUGCUAUGACAUUUGCAUGCACUUAAUAUAGAAGGUGAGGCAGAAACAGUGAGGAUGGUGAAAUGUUAAUUUUGUUACAGAUAACAGUGCUAAGCUGCAGAGCUACACACUCCAGCAGCUUAACCCACUUUCUGGAGGGAUGAUUUCCUAAAUAAAGCCCUAAAAAUGAAGGUAAAGCUCUCUGCAGCUCCAUUUCUGUGAGGGGUCCACAGAUGGACGUGGGUUGGUAGAUUGGGAAGUCUGGUUUCCAGCAGAAGAGUUUGGGAACUGAUCAUGAGGAUGCUCAGAAUGGAUUUCCUACAUGGCUAAAUCUAAAAGUGCUUCCAGAUCCAUUUUGGGACACAUUAGUCACAUUUUUCAUAGCUGGACUCAUAGAUAUAAAGCAGCCCAAAAGAACAUUUGGAUGAAAUCAGGGAGAUUAAUUUUCUGCUCUACAUUCUUCUACCAGCAUUAGGAUUGUUUCAGACUCUGCUUUUGGUUUACCCCCAUCUGUUUUCCCUUGUGUUUUAUGGUGUAGCUUUCUGCUAUGUAAUAGAAAAUCUUCUCUUGCCUGUUCCAUUUGUGUUUUAUUUUUGGCCAUUGUGUUCUAUUUAUAUUCCUUUCUGCCAUGUGAAGUAGCACUUUCCUGCUACCAUUAGUUUUUCCUGAAUCCUUUCCUUAAGGAAUCCCUCAGCCAAGCUACCUGUUGGUUAGAGUUGGCAAAAUCAUCCAAAUACCUGGGAAUGAGAAUGGAGAAUUGGGAACUUUGACCCCUCCCAGUCUUUGAGGCACCUCACCCCAGUCCAUCAUUCACGCUGCACUUCAGAGGAGUACAAAGAAGGUGCUAGAAUGCCUUUAAUUGCAGGAUUUUUAAUUGUGAUUGAGGUGUCUCCCAGCGUGGUUCUGAUGAAGAGGUGUUUUGAAAUGGGACAUUGAGUUAGCUCUGUCUCACGUGAGCCUUGGAGAGAGGAUGAAGCUCAGGAGCAAUUUGAAGCAACUUGAAGGCGUUGGGGCUUGGGUUUGCAUCUUUAAUUGGGCCUUAUUCUUCAGCCUGCUGAGGGGGACACUGGCUGAUACCUUAAUUAAACACAUGAAGGACUGGAGAGUUUCUUUUGGUGGAAUAAGGAUGAAAGCUCUGAGGUGCUUGUUGGAGCAAGACAAUGCAAAAUACUCAUUAUUUUACUUGCUUAUCAACAGGCAUCCAUUUAAACAGAGACUGUUACUGCAGCAAAAUUCCUACUGACUUCAAUAAAAUGCACUGACAUUGUAAGGACUUCAUAAUCUUUUGAGUAUUAACAGAUGGUCACUGACUGCCUGAAACAAAGUUGUUGGGGGUUUUUCUUUUUUUUUGGUUUGUUGAUCACCACAGGUAUCUGGAAACGGAACAGACUUUGCCUUCUGGAAAUCAGACCUGACUGUGAAACAAAGGGGGUUCUUUCUCCUUCCUUUUCCUUGCUACAGACUCUUUAGAGAAAAGAAUGGAAAAUGUAAACUGGUUUCUGGUGUGUUUUAUCAGAAGUCUUUGGUGACCAGCCCGAUUUGGUGUGGUGAGCCUUGCCCUGGAGGGGUGUGCUUGAGGCAGCAGCACAAGUGAGUGGCACCAGCAUCCUGUCUGAACAGAAACCCAGCAAGGGGCUUGUUGACCCUGUGGUUUGAAGUGAAAUUCUGCAGUGCCAGCAGUACCCCAGCCAUGGUGGAAAGCAGUUUGUCUUUGCUGCUGCCAUGGACUGAAUGAGCAGAGUCUUGACUGUUUGGAAAAUAUUCCUGUUAACAGUUUUUCUUUUGUGUAUUUGUCAGUUUAUAUAUUAGUUGCAGUUGUACUUUGCACAAACACUAAUUAGACAGCCAUCAACACUCAGGGCCAAAGGCUUACUAACAAUGCAACUGUGAUAGCAGUGUCUUAAUUGGUUGAGUAUAAUUGUCAUUAGGCAACCAUAAAGACAUCUGGGGCUCUGGAGAGAGAUCAGCCUCCCCCUCCUCCUCUUCCCCAAAUUUGUUCUGGCUAUUGCUAUCCAGCACAGUGGAGCUUUUUCAGAUGAGAUUCUGUGUUUUGACCAGUUUCCUGAUGUUUUUCUCCUUAUGAAAUCGUCUGCCUCUUCAGCACCACUUCAUUAGAACUGUGCCCAGCCUCCAGCUCUGCUUCCUCCCACAUGUGCUCUGCACUCCACCACCUGCUUCCCAGACAUUCAUUCCUGGUGGGGCAGCAGCAGCAGCUUUUAACCCCAGCUCCUUCUGCUUUCACUCAUCUGAGAGGGCACCAGCAAAAUGUUCAUCUCAUUAGGGCAUUACUGCCAGUAAAAAGUAGUCACAAUGCUUUUGGUUAGUGAGUAGGCAUUUUUAUUGCACAUUAAUUUAAUUUUUCCCAGUUUUUCUAUGCCAUUUGCAUUCCUCCUGUUGUUGCUUCAUUUCAGCAAGGUUUUUGAUGCAUCUCUGUAAAGCUUAAGCUGAGUCUCCAGGUUAAUUUUUACAGCUAGAUCCAUAUCUGGCUAGAAUUACAGAAUGGGCUCGUUGAGAAGUAUAUUUAGAAAAAUACAACUUGUCUCUUCUGCUGCUCUUGUCUCAUGUGUCUGUACUGAAAUAUUCCAAAGAACAAGGGCAAAGUGGAAUGUGGGUCCAUCAAAGAAGCUGAGUUAUUUGGGUAGAGAGGCUCUGUUGAACAUCAGAGAGGGAAAAAUGUGUUUGUGAGUAGAGAGAGCGUGGUGUGGAUGGAAGGAAUCAGGGAAGGGGUAUUGGGAGAGGGGGGAAUCAGCCUUGUGAGCAACAGGCUUCUUGUUGUGCUCAGGAGGGCAGGAGUUUGUACAGCCUUUCUAAAUGAAAUGAAGCAGAUGUGGUCUCUAAUGUGGGUUAUUUUAGGGGUUGGGUUGUUGGGUCUGCUCAGUGCAGGAGGUGUCAGGUGUUGGAGUAUUUAUUUACCUGCCACUGCAACAAUCAGCUCAUGGCACCCAUCAGGGGAAAACAGCAGCAGCUGAAUGCUCUUGGUGUCAGAGCAAAUAGGAUGUGAACAUUGUCCUAUUAAACAGGAAGGGAGUUUUGAAUAGGUUUGGGGGUUUUUUCACUCCAGCAGAAAUCUAUGUGGGCAUUUCAGUGCCAUUUUGGUAGAAAAAUCAGUAACUGAGUGGGUUUGAAGUGCUGGGCUUGUUCUCAGGCAGGACUUGCAUCUGGGGUUAUUUCACUGAGUGAUCCAAAUGAAAUUUUCAGGGCAAGAUGUAAAAGUUGUGGUGGGAAAUGAAUAGAAAUCUUGAAAUUGUCUAGAAAUAGUGCAGUGUGUUCCUCUCUCCAGCCAUCUCUAUUGAUAGGGCAGAUUUGCCAAUUAUCUGUAAUAAAGCAGCCUUUUGAGUUUUUUUUUUUACAGCAAGGCAGUGCUUUAAUAGUUUAAAAGCCUUUUGUUGUGGUUACAAAUUGAAAGUGUGGUGCUCUUUACAACAGCAUUAAAUUUAUUUUAUUUUUUUUUUCCUUCUGAAUUGGAUUCAUCUGUGUUUGAAAUUCUUCCAGUUCAGUGCUGGUGCAGGCCCAGUGCACACUGGAAAUGGGCAGUAGAGGAGCUGGUUUAUAUCUCCCACUUCCCCAGGCUGGUUCCCUGCCCAGACCUGGGGCUUCACUCGUGUUCCCACCACAUCUUGUGGAACAUCUCCCCCAAUCCUUCAGCUUUGCUGUGUGGGACUGCACUGGGAAGGAUGGGAAUGGUGAGAAUCAGGGGAGGAGGGAUAAGAGCAACAAAGAACGGUUCAAACUAAAUUUUGACUUGAUUGAAUUCUGAGAUAAAAUUAAUUUAAGGAUUUACUGUGGUCCUGUGAUGUUUGGUCUCUAAUUCCAGGAUUGCAUUGUUAUUUUUGGUGGAUCCCUUGUGUUCCAGGCUGUGUAGGGAAGCCAGAUGCAGUGUGCCCUGAGAGUUACCCAGCCCUGAAUUUCUCCUUUUCUCCUGCCAUGUUCUCCAUCUCUCAGUCUUUCUUUUUCCAUCUCCAGCCUGGACUAUGUGAGAGCUACGCUAGGAGGAGAUGCUGUUCUUCCUUGUUUAUUUAGAGAUGAAAACAAAUAUUCUGUCACUGAGUUCUGUCCAGUCUACCAGUGUUUUAUGUCUCCCCUGAAACUCACUUUUCAGUGACAAGAGAAUUUUGGCUUCCCUUGGGAGGAAUCUGCUGCUCUUGGCAAUCAGGAGAAGCUCAAAAACACGACCCCAACCAACCCUAACAUAAGGAAACAAAAAUCAGCUCAAAAUUAAAACGCUUCCAAAACACUGUGUGCCUCUUGUUGAAGGGGACUGCAGCUGAUCUGUGCAAUCACCUGUCCUGUUGUGGUUUAUCUCCAGAUUUUGAGGCAGAACGAGCCCUUUCCAGUUUUGCAAACUGAAGAGAUUUGUUGUGAUCUGAUCCGCGCUCUGUGUCCAGUCUGACAUGAAACGUUUUGCUUUGGGGAAGUUUCUUUCUUGGUCUGUUCUUCUUAAAUUGUGCUGCUGUAAAUUGGGAAUGAAAGCAGGAUUCAGAGGAGGUUUGGGCCUGGUUUGCAGAGGCAGGGAAAGGGAGAAGUGUCCCACCCUGUUCUCUCAUUUCCCUGGGUGCUCCCCUGUAGGGCACAGCAGAGGAGGCAGGUGACCAGGGCACAGUUCUCUCUCUUCCUGACCAGUGCAGGGAAUUAAUGUGAAUCUCUCUCUGCCUGACAGCUUUCACCACUCCCCUGGGCACUUUAAUUCCUUCUCUAAAUUGGAGCCUUUUCACCAGGAGAUGUUGGGAGUGAUCUGCUGGCAGUACCAGGAGCCCUGGGCAAGGCACUGCCCA